rnacentral:rRNA from 1 species
AUGAAGAUCAAAGAAAUCUUUUAUAGUUUUUUGAAGAAAAAACUGGGGGAUGGGACAAAUACAAGACUAAGGGAAGAUAUUUGGGUGAAUGAUAAAACUAUUAAGGAAGCUUGUCCUAGACUCUAUGACCUGUGCUUUGAUCAUAACAUAACAGUGGCCGAAGCCAUCCAAAAAGGUUGGCAAGGAUUUAGGAUUAGAAGGACUCUUUAUGGGGACACUUUGGGAUUAUGGAAUAGCUUGAAAAAUAAAGGAGCAACAAAAAAGGUGCUGCAGCUGAGGGCAAGACUGCUAGAAUGGGUAGCAAGUGAGGUUUAUGCAGCCUCUCAAGGGUGGACAAUCAAUGUGCCGCGGCUGGAAUGA